UACGUAGGGUGCGAGCGUUUGUCCGGAAUUAUUGGGCGUAAAGAGCUUGUAGGCGGUUUGUCGCGUCUGCUGUGAAAAUCCGGGGCUCAACCCCGGACUUGCAGUGGGUACGGGCAGACUAGAGUGUGGUAGGGGAGACUGGAAUUCCUGGUGUAGCGGUGGAAUGCGCAGAUAUCAGGAGGAACACCGAUGGCGAAGGCAGGUCUCUGGGCCACUACUGACGCUGAGAAGCGAAAGCAUGGGGAGCGAACAGG
rnacentral:rRNA from 1 species